GUGUGUUGAUGAUAUUACUGAGAGAGAAGCAGGUGGUGUGUUGAUGAGAGUAGAGAGAGAGAGAAGCAGGUGAUGUGUUGAUGAUAUUACUGAGAGAGAAGCAGGUGGUGUGUUGAUGAGAGUAGAGAGAGAGAGAAGCAGGUGGUGUGUUGAUGAUAUUACUGAGAGAGAAGCAGGUGGUGU